rnacentral:Y_RNA from 1 species
GGUUGGUCUGAAUGCAGUGUUAUUUACAACUAAUUGAUUACAACCAGUUACAGAUUCCUUUGUUCCUUCUCCACUUCCACUGCUUCAUUGACCAGCCUUUA